AACUGUGACCGGGGUUCAGCGCUCGGGUGAGGAGCUGGUGGCGUCGGCAGGUUCGAGGCGAUUCGAGCUCCAGCUAGGAUGAUCGAGGUUGUUUGCAACGACCGUCUGGGGAAGAAGGUCCGCGUUAAAUGCAAGUAUCCACUGGCAGCCGAGAGGCAGUGGUACCCGCAGGGGUGCUUGGCGUGAGGCAGGCAACUCAAUCUGUGUUGUCGGAUGGUUUUAGUUAAACCCGGGAGAGGGGGCGGAUGGGGUCCUGGCAGAUGGUAUUCUGCCCUAGAAUGUCCUCUUCCUCGUUCUACCGCUUCCAUUUGCCUUAACUGCUCUGCGCCCAGCACGGAUGAUACCAUCGGGGACCUUAAGAAGCUGAUUGCAGCCCAAACUGGUACCCGUUGGAACAAGAUUGUCCUGAAGAAGUGGUGAGUGCAGCGGUAGAGCCACUAGGUGGACUGGACUAGGCCGGAAGGUUUUGGUUGGGGGAGCGCUGCAGGCAGCCCUUUGCUUAGGCUUGGCUACCUCAUUCGGCCUACAAACUGAAGAGCCUCCUUA
rnacentral:sRNA from 1 species